rnacentral:misc_RNA from 1 species
UUAAGUUCAGCGGGUAUUCCUACCUGAUCCGAGGUCAACCUUUUAGAAUUGGGGUGUUUUACGGCAGGGGACCGGCCCAACUACAGACGAGAUGAAAUCUACUACGUCUAGAGUAUGAAACCGACUCCGCCACUAACUUCGGGGGGCUACGCGCAAACGUAGGCCCCCAACGCUAAGCAACUAGGGCUUAAGGGUUGAAA